GAUGAAGAACGCAGUGAAAUGCGAUACUUGGUGUGAAUUGCAGAAUCCCGUGAACCAUCGAGUCUUUGAACGCAAGUUGCGCCCGAAGCCAUUAGGCCGAGGGCACGCCUGCCUGGGCGUCACACGUCGUUGCCCCCCCAUCUACUCCUUCGGGAUUGCGGGGGGCGGAUGAUGGCCUCUCGUGCGCCUCGUCGCGCGGUUGGCCUAAAUGCCAAGUCCUCGGCGACGCACGCCACGACAAUCUGUGGUUGCGAAACCUCGGUUGCCUGUCGUGUGCGGUCGUCGCGCAUCGAGGGCUCGAAAAAAUUGCCGGGCUUCGGCUCGACUUUCAACGCGACCCCAGGUCAGGCGGGGUUACCCGCUGAAUUUAAGCAUAUCAAUAAGCGGAGGA
rnacentral:misc_RNA from 1 species